CAGAGAGCUCAGUGGACUAAAGUGCCUGCUUUGGCAGGAGCGCAGCAGCUGGGGUUCGCUCCCUGGCUUGCCCUGCCGAUCCUGCCCCUGGGGCACAAUUGAGACUGGG